UCCUCGGUAGCUCAAUCGGUAGAGCGGGCGGCUGUUAACCGCCAUGUUGUAGGUUCGAGUCCUACCCGAGGAGCCA
rnacentral:tRNA from 2 species